AAGCCCCGGCUAACUCCGUGCCAGCAGCCGCGUUAAUACGGGGGGGGCAAGCGUUGUUCGGAAUUACUGGGCGUAAAGGGCUCGUAGGUGGCCAACUAAGUCAGACGUGAAAUCCCUCGGCUUAACCGGGGAACUGCGUCUGAUACUGGAUGGCUUGAGUUUGGGAGAGGGAUGCGGAAUUCCAGGUGUAGCGGUGAAAUGCGUAGAUAUCUGGAGGAACACCGGUGGCGAAGGCGGCAUCCUGGACCAACACUGACACUGAGGAGCGAAAGCCAGGGGAGCAAACGGGAUUAGAUACCCCGGUAGUCCUGGCCCUAAACGAUGGGUGCUAGGUGUCGCGGGCUUUGACCCCUGCGGUGCCGCAGCUAACGCAUUAAGCACCCCGCCUGGGAAGUACGGCCGCAAGGCUAAAACUCAAAGGAAUUGACG
rnacentral:rRNA from 1 species